AGUGAACGCUGGCGGUAUGCCUAACACAUGCAAGUCGAACGGCAGCACAGUAAGAGCUUGCUCUUACGGGUGGCGAGUGGCGGACGGGUGAGGAAUACAUCGGAAUCUACUUUUUCGUGGGGGAUAACGUAGGGAAACUUACGCUAAUACCGCAUACGACCUACGGGUGAAAGCAGGGGAUCUUCGGACCUUGCGCGAUUGAAUGAGCCGAUGCCGGAUUAGCUAGUUGGCGUGGUAAAGGCCCACCAAGGCGACGAUCCGUAGCUGGUCUGAGAGGAUGAUCAGCCACACUGGAACUGAGACACGGUCCAGACUCCUACGGGAGGCAGCAGUGGGGAAUAUUGGGCAAUGGGCGAAAGCCUGACCCAGCCACGCCGCGUGGGUGAAGAAGGCCUUCGGGUCGUAAAGCCCUUUUGUUGGGAAAGAAAAGCAGCAGGUUAAUACCCGGCUGUUCUGACGGUACCCAAAGAAUAAGCACCGGCUAACUUCGUG
rnacentral:rRNA from 1 species